GAUGAACGCUGGCGGCGUGCCUAAUACAUGCAAGUCGAGCGAGAAUCGAAUGAACGGAGAUUCGUCGAAGUGAAUUCGAGGAAAGCGGCGGACGGGUGAGUAACGCGUAGGCAACCUGCCCUUAGCAGAGGGAUAGCCAUUGGAAACGAUGAUUAAAACCUCAUAAUGCUGCAGAAACACAUGUUUUUACAGCCAAAGAUUUAUCGGCUAAGGAUGGGCCUGCGUCUGAUUAACUGGUUGGUGAGGUAACGGCUCACCAAGGUGACGAUCAGUAGCCGACCUGAGAGGGUGAUCGGCCACAUUGGAACUGAGACACGGUCCAAACUUCUGCGGAAGGCAGCAGUAAGGAAUCUUGCACAAUGGGGGAAACCCUGAUGCAGCAACGCCGCGUGAACGAUGAAGGCCUUAGGGUUGUAAAGUUCUGAUCUGUGGGAAGAAGAAGUGACGGUACCACAGGAGAAAGCCCCGGCUAAAUACGUGCCAGCAGCCGCCGUAAUAC
rnacentral:rRNA from 1 species